rfam:Medicago truncatula strain A17 chromosome 4, whole genome shotgun sequence.
GUCCCUUCGGGGAAACCCGAUUAAAUUGGAACGAUACAGAAAAGAUUAUCGUUGCCCACAUGCGCCUACACAAGGACGACACGCAAUCGAGUAAUUUGUUUUU